AUUAUUUAUAAGUUAUUGAAAGAAUCUCUUACUAAUAAAAGAGACUAAUUGAAGCCUCUCAAGCUAUCCACAUAAGCAUUUUCCAAACCUCACUAAAAUCUGCCACGUCAGCUAUCUAAUUGCUACCUUAAACAGCCACGUAAUCAUGUUCAGAAGUUAUUAAUUUUUAUCUGGAAUCAUCAACGCACAAAUCUAUGGGUGCUCAAUUAAGGUUACCUCAUCUCUUUACUUAAAAGUCGAAGCGUUCUACCUUCCCCUACGUCUAAUCACUUCCUCUUAACUACAUCCUCGAUUAUCAAGAGAGUGCAGAAGCAACGUUCAUCUUCCAUAAAACUUCUACUCUCUUUCCUCAGCAAAAUCAUGCUCCAUCAUCGAGAGUGUGUUGAAGAAACGUUCAUGCACUCACGUCUACUUACGCAAUCGAUCUUCAUUGCUUUUCAUCAAACCGUGAUAGUCAUCUCUCAAGCCCAUGUCUACGCCGUCCAAUAUGAAACCUGGGAAAGAAAACUCAAUCCCCAGGAAUUCAUAUAAAAUAUGCUUCCCUAAAAUACAACAAGUUGUAAGCGCUCAUUCUGUUUUAGUAACCAUCCCCAUUCUAUUUUUUAUAGGGGGUGAUAUUCGACAUUCUGCUGGAUAUUAACGAUGGAUAAAGGAGAAAUUCUGGUUUCCAAAAGAAUUUAUCCAUAAACCAUUCCUAGAGUCUUUUAUGCAUACACGGCGACACGAAUCGUCGGCAAACCAUGUUUGAGGUUCAUUUCUUUACCGAUGGAUCAUGAAGCAAUAUACUUUACCAUUGGUAGUUUAGCAUGACCAAAAACGUUCUUUAGAGAGAUAAUAUAAAGUCAUGGUGAAGUGACAUUGAAGGUUCAGUCCUCAUUGAAAAGGGGCGAGAACAUUUGCUGUCUUGACAAAAAUUGAUGUUAUGGACAAAGGAGCCGGUGCAUUACGUAAGUUGCCUUAUCACAUUGCAUUAUAAUUGUAAAAGAAGCUGCAACUAUUUGCAAUUAAAAGAGCUAGAAAUGCAUAACAAUAGUUUUCGUCUAAUUAGGUUAUGAAAUGAUAUUAGAGCUACGACAUGCUAACUUUUGUAGUAAUAUAUAUGUUCCCUCAUUUUUUAUUUUUUUGCUAAUUAUGUUCCCUCAUUAUUAUUGUGUCCAUCCCUACCUAACAAAUGAUGUUUUCUGCAUAGAUUCUACAAGCGAAAUCUCUUACACUUAAGUAUAUAUGGGUUAGUGUAGUCCUCCCACUCUCUUAGCUUUUCUGUAAAAAUUUAGUUACACAAAUCAAUGCCAUCCACGGUGUAACCUUCUCACUUCUAUCAUGUUUGUUUCAUUUAUGCUAGAUUUAAAAAUGGUGGGGCGAUGGCGAAGAAGAACCAAAGAUAGGCUCUCCUUAAAAUUGUUUGUAAUCCGAGAAAAAGUCGUUGGUCGAGGUGGUGAUGGGUUGGUAAACCAUGGUUAUGAUUACAAACGUAAGGACGUCGAACCCGUCGACAGUAUUGCCGUGACGUGCCAGAUAUCAUACUUUAAUCUGAAUACAAGGUUUACUCUUCCUAAAUUUGUCUAAUUCUUUAAUUUGGUUAUGUUCUUUUUCCUUUCAACCCUUGCUGUUUCUUUAAUUUGGUUAUAUAUGUUUUUGGCUUUGAACACUUUUAAAUUUCAAAAUAUAAAUUAUAGCCAAAAAAUUAUCAAU